rnacentral:rRNA from 1 species
GGGAGCUUGCUCCCAGGCGUCGAGUGGCGCACGGGUGAGUAACGCGUGGGAACCUGCCUUUUUCUGCGGGAUAACGGUUGGAAACGACCGCUAAUACCGCAUACGCCCUACGGGGGAAAGGUCCGCCGGAAAAAGAGGGGCCCGCGUCUGAUUAGCUUGUUGGUAGGGUAAUGGCCUACCAAGGCGACGAUCAGUAGCUGGUCUGAGAGGAUGAUC